rnacentral:rRNA from 1 species
AUUGAACGCUGGCGGCAGGCCUAACACAUGCAAGUCGAGCGGAUGAAGGGAGCUUGCUCCUGGAUUCAGCGGCGGACGGGUGAGUAAUGCCUAGGAAUCUGCCUGGUAAUGGGGGAUAACGUCCGGAAACGGGCGCUAAUACCGCAUACGUCCUGAGGGAGAAAGUGGGGGAUCUUCGGACCUCACGCUAUCAGAUGAGCCUAGGUCGGAUUAGCUAGUUGGUGGGGUAAAGGCCUACCAAGGCGACGAUCCGUAACUGGUCUGAGAGGAUGAUCAGUCACACUGGAACUGAGACACGGUCCAGACUCCUACGGGAGGCAGCAGUGGGGAAUAUUGGACAAUGGGCGAAAGCCUGAUCCAGCCAUGCCGCGUGUGUGAAGAAGGUCUUCGGAUUGUAAAGCACUUUAAGUUGGGAGGAAGGGCAGUAAGUUAAUACCUUGCUGUUUUGACGUUACCAACAGAAUAAGCACCGGCUAACUUCGAG